GUGGCCCGCGGAAGGACGUUGGCGGUUCGUGGACUCGGUUCUGGCCGGGAAGUUCGAACCGAGGUCUGCAGAGCUUCGUGUCUGGAGCGGGCGGCGGGGUGCGGCAGUUUGGGCUCAGGGUCGCCGUGCCAUCGGCUCCGGUUUGGAAGUGGGGGUUGACCGACGAAUGAAAUUGUCACGUGUCGAAGGGACGAAGACUCUUAGCUCUAAGAUAAUUGAGACCUUUGGGAGAUAGAAAAGAAGAGCCGGCGAGCACAGACACGAGCUGAAGUGGGCAGCACGCGAGCCGCCUGGUCACGCACAUUUGUGCAGCCUCACCUGCAGCAGACGCCUCCUGGGAAGGCAGCCGCUCUCCCUCCCUCCGUCGCUAGAGGUUUUGGUGUGUGUUUCUGUGAAGAGCGGAGGUGGUGGACGAGAAGAAUGGAGGUGUUGGUGGAGAUGAGCACAACUCGUGAAGUGUCCGCAGGAAGCUGCCAGGUCGGGGCAGUGGUGUGCAGACGAAAAUUAAAACCCGGAAUUACGUGACAGCAGAGACGGAAACAGUCAGUAAGGAGCUGGAGAAGGACGCGAGAGACCCGGAAGGAAAGAAUGUCUAGGAGAGGGAAUUCCGGGACCCUCUUCCUUGAGGGUAGAAGAACGUAACUAGCAAGAAAAUGGGGAGACAUCUCUGUGGUGCAAAACAUAUAGGUGUGUAUUGUUUGAUGAAUUACACAGUCACUCAACAAACCAUUUUCUGAUACAAAGCAUUAUGGACAGAUGGAUUAUGGACAAGGACUAACCUUUGGCCCAAGACUUGAGAGCACAAUCCGGGAGAGGAGCACGCAGAGUUGCAGGGACGGGAUGCUUGUGUGUGCAACAGUUCAAAGCGGCAGUCAGAUGGGGCUUUAGUACAGGAGAAGAUGGGUUGUCGCUCUGAAAACCAGGAGAGAAGGGCUGACGCACAAGAGGGAGCGGGCGCGAGGGCGUGUGAGGAGGGGUGGGAGGAUUGGCAUGGGUAGAAAAUGUCAGGCAAGCUGCCAUGCUGAGGAGUGAGCUUAGGUGAGGCCAUGCUAGUGAUUGCACGGGCUUCUGCAGACCCGGGAGAGAGAGUCAGUCCUGCUGAGAUACGGCAGGAGGUGUGGAGAGGGGCACAGUUAACUGGGGGAAGAUUUCGGCACUGAACACCUUAAGACUUCCCAUCCUUGCUUUUCAGUGCUGGAGACGGAACUCAGCGUGAGCAUGUGGGGAAUGUUGAGAUGCACCCUUAGCCCUAAGGCUCACACCUCUUGAAAAAGCUGACAGCUUACGUUUAGAACCAAGACCACCUUUCUCUAAGAGACCAGAAAUAUCACACCUCACAGGCCCUUUCGCCUGCUUGCUCUGCACAAGCUUUCCUCCUGUUGAGGAAUCUGGCCCUGGCCCUCUGCUUAUCUUCUCCCAGCCUCUGGGUCUUCCUGGUCAGUCCCACAUGCCUCACUCUGUGCCAGCACACUGCCCUGUGACCUCAGCCUGUUUCUUGACUUGGUCUGAGCUCUGAUAUCCUUGCUUUUUAUGGCCUUUCCCUAUGGACGCUGUUUGCUCUCUCACACCCAGAAUACCUCAGGGUUAAGAGGGAGUAGAGUUCUUAUGCUGCAUUAUUGCCUUCAAAUCGUUUUCUCUCUUCUGUGGUCUCCAGAACUCAUCCCCCCUUUUCCAUUACUAAUAUAUAAUGGCCUUCCUCCCCUCCAUACACUGAAGAUUAGCUCUGAGUCUUUUUUUUUUUUUCUUCUUUCUCCUCUUUCUCAUCUUUAGGAUUUAACUAUCCAUGUGGGAUAACCUACUCUACAUCUGGUUUCUCAAUUCCUUGUUUUUUUCCCCAUUAUACCCCAGCUUUGUACGCUCCAUUUCUCAGAUUUACCAGGGUCUGAAUUUGCAUUGCUUCUGAAAUACUGGCCACACCCUCCCCGCUCUUUCACGUGCUCACCCCAUCGGCACACUUUGUUCACUGGGCACUGGCAGAACCUCGAACUGACUCUCGGUUAUUGACAAUCUUCUCUCCUCCCUGUCAUCUUCUUCUCGGGUUUAGAUUCUGUGACGGUAGUUAGAGUGACUCCUUCAUCACACAUAGCCUUGCUUCUAUGUGCAUUCUGUCUGAAGAGAUGCUGCUGCUUCUCAGAUUGGAAAGUCUUAGAAGAACAUUCUAGGAAUGCUCAACUCACCCUUUCUCCUUGGUAAAAAGCCUGCUUACACAAAGCACAUGUUUGUUGAUAAUCCCUCUAAUGGCUGGCUCUGUAAGAGUCCAGGACUGUACUGAAAAUUGGGGGGAGGGGAUAUGUUAGUUAUGGGGUUCAGUGUUAGGAAUCCCAUUUACCCACAAGAAAAGUAUAAGUGUUAAUAUAUCAACUUUAUGAAAGUUAUAAUUUGACUUCUACCUUAUUUCUUUGACUCAUUUCUCAGUUCUGAACUCCAGUAGAUAAGGAAACAUUGGUUUUCUUUAAGACCUUAAAUUGAUAUAUUUACCUCCCCUCUCUAUGUACUAUUAACAGAAACUUGUACAAUACUGAGUUUUCUUAUAUUUUGUUUUAUUUACUUGGUAAUUACUCUAGGAAUUCUGUCUCUAUCAUCAUGCAAGCUUACUUGUUUCUUUUCAUAGAUACAUGAUAUUUUAUUAUGUAUUUUUUCCUUCCAAAUGGUAUCCACUCCUUUAUUGCAAACAUUGUUGUUUUCUGUCAUUUGAUAACAAUACUACUGCAAUUAUUAUGAAUAAUAGUUGUGCUCUUUGGGCACAACUAUGUGAGCACAAGUAAGAAGUUUCACGUAUUUUCCCAGUCACACACCUUGACUGAGACGAUCACUGGUAUGUGGAAGUACCGUUUUAAUGUUUUAAACUACAAGUGAAUGUAGUUUCCCACGUUGGUCAGUCAUUUCAUACAUUCCUUCUCAAUUGAUAAUAUCAUCGCAUCUGGAGAACAGACUUCUUUGGGCAGGAAUGCCCUGCUCUUACCACUUACUUGUAAACAUGUGCCAGCUUUCUUUCCUCCCAUACAGUGAAGAGAUGAUCUUCACCCCUCCCAUGUUCUGCAUCUGUCUCCAUUCUCCACAGGACUCCAUCUUAACAGUUAUAUUCCAUCCUCCCUGUCUCAUGUUGUCAUUUUCCCUUCAUCCCCAACUAUGGCAUUUUCUACCACUGUAGUCGGAAGAUUUCCUGGUCCUGCCCGGCUCCUGCGGCCCUGUGGUCUCGCAGCCACUCAGACCCAAAUGAGCACACAGAGGCUUAUAUAGUUAUGAACUGUAUGGCCUAAUGGCUCAGGAUUCUCGCUAGCUAGCUCUUACAUCUUAAAUUAACCCAUUUUUAUAA